GAUUAUGUGGGGUUAUGUGAACCACUUCGUUAGCUCCGCCUCCUUUUCUUGCUCUGAACCAGAGAAAAAUAGAGAGAAAGAGUGUGUGUGUGUGUGUGUGUUUUGGGCGAGCUGAAUCGUAAGAGCAUGGUGUUCCUCCACCUUCAAAGCUACUAUGUUGCCGUCGUCGUCGUUAGCUCCAAAGAGGGCAAUUCCAGUUACUGCGGCUACGACAAAAAUCGUCUAAAAUCGUGAACGUCGCUCGCUGUAAUCAAUGCAUUUGAAGAAUCUGCAAUGACUGAUAGAGAGCAUAGUCGACGAUGACGCAAGGAUUAUGUCGUUGAUAUGGGCAAUCUGGCCAUGCUAACUCUCAAGGAUUUGAAGAUCAAUCAUUCAUUUUGAUUGGUGGAAUACGGCCCUGUUAUUUGUUCAGCCUCAGGGUUUCAAAUCUGGGAUGAAGGAAUCUUCCAGCUGCCACCACGACACCUUCUUAGCUACUACAGAUCAUGGCUUUCCCUCAGGGUAAGUAAUUAUUACAUACCUAUGAGUCAUUUUUAUGGGUGUAAUGGACAAGUUCUAGAAGGGGGUUUUUAAUUAGGCUAAAGUUUUGAGAGAUGAUAGUCUUGUAAUGGAUUGAAUGCUUAGCUAGCAAUUGAUACCUUUGCUGGUCAUCCCAUUGGCUUCAUUAAUAUAGCAUAUCAAAUUUACAACUCAUUGGUGCACUAAAAUGAAAAACCAAACACUCUGAUCAUGUUACUCAAGCCGAAAACAUCAUAUGUAUUCAGUAAGUUGUCAAAGACCAAGCUACCCAAAGAGAUGAUUGGUUUCAUUCAUGUUAAACUGUGAAGCUUUUACAUAAGUAAAAUCAGUAUCUUGUCGUUCCCAUUUUCGGACUCAAUAUUUUUUGCUUUUAUCUACUUAUUGCUGGUUCAUUUCGAUUGAUAACAUUGGGAUUACAUGUACUUGCUGGUAUUCUUCAGGAUGCUUAAGGAUUACAGUAAUAUGAAUUAUUUGAGUUCUAGGUGGACAUGACGAAGAAGGAUUCUGAUUUCAUCAAGUUGCUUGAGGGUGAGCUCCAGAAUUCAAAAGAAUUUUUCGUAGAGAAAGAGGAAGAGCACAUCAUCGUCAUCAUCAUGCUGCAUUAGAAAUAUCAUGAAGAACCACACACGACAUAUUUGCAUCCUCUCUUGCCCUUACGAUUCCUCUUAUCCAAGUCGGGCCCUCAACUAAUGAAUCAUUUAACUGUUGCGUAGAGAAAGAAUAGCAUGAAGAAUGAGGGCUUUGCAAGAAGUUGUUCCGAGCUGCAACAAGUCAUAUGGAAUAAAAAUUGGGUACGGUGGAAUCUCUAGGUCUUCCGGGGUUACAGAUGACUCCUCUUCUCAGGGUGGAGGUUGUUGCAGCUGAGGCUUGGAGAUAUAUGUGCUGUAAGUGUAAUUAUCAGCGUUCUUUUUCUCCUCAACCCUAUUUGGUUUUUGCCCUUAAUGACGUUAUCUGUGCGUAAAUGUUAUCCUUAGGUUUACAAUACGUGCUUUUCCAAACUGAUUUUUUCAACGGGCAUGACGGACGUGCCUUGCACGUCACGAUGUAC